CCCUUUCUUCUUCAUCUCUCUCUCUCUCUUCCAUCUCCACCUUCGGCGAUUACUCUCUCUUCCACACGUUUUCUUCCCCUUUCCCUUACUUUCUCUGGCGAUUCGGGUGAUCUCUGUUUUGAAGAUGAGAGAUCUCUUGCGGUUGGUCUCCUCUAAUGGUGACAUGGUAGUUCGUGUACCUUUUAUCCAUUGGUAUCAUGUUCCAAAAGCAAUUUACCAUUGCCUAAGAGAUGUGUCUUUCUUUUACGUGGAAACUGGUGGAGGUGAACGAGUUAUUGCUGCUGAAGCAAUUGGGAGAGGAGCUGGUCUUCUCAUUUUCAAAAAGUUCGAUAGGUUCCUAGAAGAUUAUGCAAACGUACCUUUGGGAGAGAUGGUUCAGUGGGAUUUGAAAACAGAUAUGGUUAUUUGGCUCGAGGCCAUUAUUUACCACUCCUUUGUUGCUUAAAGCAUGCCAGGUGUUCGCUAUUGCUGGUAUUUGAAAUAUGCUUCUCAGCCUCAUUAACCAUGCCAACGGUCAUCUUCACUUCCCUGUUUUUAAUUAUUGUUCGAUGCUUAAUAUGAUUCAUUGAUAUUAAAGAACGACUAUCAUCAAUUACAAGGCCAAAUUUGAUAUUGAAAUCACUGAUGCAACUGGUUCGAUUGAGGCGAAUCUUUGCUGAAGCAGAAGAUUUCUUUGGUAUUAUGGCUGUAGAAAUAAUGGAAAAUGUAGUGGAGGACUAUCCCUCUCUGCCUCUACUCCAGAAAUUAUCAGCACCAAAGAAAGUGACUGCCAACUUGAAGGCAUACAUGUACAACUAUGCAGGAAUGAGUACAUGCAAAUUCAUUAUUGACUGUUGAGGUAAUCUUCAAUAUGGGAGUCCUAGAUGAUACUGAAACACUCAGGCUUCAAAGCUCCGAACAAGCCAAACAACAAAGCCAAAAAAGACAAAACACAAGCCUUCAACAUCCCACGAAACACAACCCUCCAGCCCGACUUCAACCACCAUGAUGCAUGACGCACACAUAGAAGAAGAAAAUAGCAAGAAAAGCGACUAGAUCAAGAAUCACAACAACUUUUGAAAGCCUAGCAGAUUAACAAGGAGGCAAAACUUUUGGUGUGCAUGCUUUGCUUCCCAAAUCCCUACACCUGAAGAACGACUAAAUCAGGAAUCACAAUAUCUUUUCAGAUUAACUAGGUUGCAAAGCUUUUGGUGUGCAUGCUUUGCUUCCAAUAUAACUAAAUCUGUAACCUUUUAUCUGCAAAACUUCGGCUGUAAAUCAUGUUCUCACUUCCAAACUCUUAAUGUAAAUUAUAAGACAUGCUUCUUUUGGAGAAAUUCUCUGAAACUAUCACAACGGGCAUGAUCCUCGUGUAUAGAAUUCCAUGGCAGUUUCGAGUC